ACCAUUCUCCUCCACCACCAUCGCCGACAUACGUAUACAAGUCACCACCUCCUCCAUCACCCAAAUACGUGUACAAAUCACCACCUCCUCCAUCACCUAAAUACGUGUACAAGUCGCCACCCCCUCCAUCACCUGAAUAUGUGUACAAGUCCCCACCCCCUCCAACCCCAACUUACGUGUACAAGUCACCACCACCUCCAUCACCUGAAUACGUAUACAAGUCCCCACCACCUCCAUCACCGAAGUACGUGUAUAAAUCCCCCCCACCGCCACCAUACUACUACAAGUCCCCCCCACCUCCAUCACCUGAGUACGUAUACAAGUCUCCCCCACCUCCAUCCCCAAAGUACGUGUACAAGUCCCCGCCCCCUCCAUCACCUGAAUACGGGGACAAGUCCCCACCACCUCCCUCACCCGAAUACGUGUACAAGCCCCCACCCCCUCCAUCACCUGAAUACGGGGACAAGUCCCCACCACCUCCCUCACCCGAAUACGUGUACAAGCCCCCACCCCCUCCAUCACCUGAAUACGGGGACAAGUCCCCACCACCUCCCUCACCCGAAUACGUGUACAAGCCCCCACCCCCUCCAUCACCUGAAUACGGGGACAAGUCCCCACCACCUCCCUCACCCGAAUACGUGUACAAGCCCCCACCCCCUCCAUCACCUGAAUACGGGGACAAGUCCCCACCACCUCCCUCACCCGAAUACGUGUACAAGCCCCCACCCCCUCCAUCACCUGAAUACGGGGACAAGUCCCCACCACCUCCCUCACCCGAAUACGUGUACAAGCCCCCACCCCCUCCAUCACCUGAAUACGGGGACAAGUCCCCACCACCUCCCUCACCCGAAUACGUGUACAAGCCCCCACCCCCUCCAUCACCUGAAUACGGGGACAAGUCCCCACCACCUCCCUCACCCGAAUACGUGUACAAGCCCCCACCCCCUCCAUCACCUGAAUACGGGGACAAGUCCCCACCACCUCCCUCACCCGAAUACGUGUACAAGCCCCCACCCCCUCCAUCACCUGAAUACGGGGACAAGUCCCCACCACCUCCCUCACCCGAAUACGUGUACAAGCCCCCACCCCCUCCAUCACCUGAAUACGGGGACAAGUCCCCACCACCUCCCUCACCCGAAUACGUGUACAAGCCCCCACCCCCUCCAUCACCUGAAUACGGGGACAAGUCCCCACCACCUCCCUCACCCGAAUACGUGUACAAGCCCCCACCCCCUCCAUCACCUGAAUACGGGGACAAGUCCCCACCACCUCCCUCACCCGAAUACGUGUACAAGCCCCCACCCCCUCCAUCACCUGAAUACGUAUACAAGUCUCCACCACCUCCAUCACCGAAGUACGUGUAUAAAUCCCCACCACCGCCACCAUACUACUACAAUUCUC
rnacentral:lncRNA from 1 species